AAGAAACAAUAUUUAAAAGCAAAGAAUAAGAAAUGGCAAAAAAAAAAGGAAUCUGCAGCUCAUAUUUGAGUGUACUUCUUGAC
rnacentral:ribozyme from 13 species